ACCUUUCAUUUUCUCAGCUUGUUCAUUCAGGCGGAUUUCAAGAUCUUGCUUCUGUUUCUCCAAUUCUGAAAUUUGCUGUUUAAAGUCUGGGAUCAUCUUUAGAGAAGAAUUAGAAAUAUUAGAAUAUAAAAUACUUUUAUCUAUGAACUUUAAAAUCUUAGAAGCAAACUGAACUAUCUUGGUGUUCAGCCUGCAGAACAGAUAGCUGUGUAAAAGAGCUAGCCACGACAUUAGACUGGAUUAACAUUUUUUUUUAACCUCAAAACCUAUAUAGUCUCAGGAAACACCAGUAUGCUCAGAGGAAGCAGUUCUCACACAGCUACGACAGGGAGAGAAGGAUGUGUACAUGUAUAGAAAUCCUAUGCUGAGUUGAGGGAGGAAUUAGGUGAAGAAAUGGCAGCCAGCGUCUUUGGUCCAAGCCCAGAGCCAUCGUCUCCUCAUCUAGGAACAGGAAAAGCCAUCUCAAAGGGUCCCACUGCUACUUUUGAAUUCAAGGACAUGCACUGCUCUGUUAGUGGAGGUCUGGAAUCACCCGGGCCCAGUUUUCUAGCUUCACAGUCUCCAGCUAAAUAACUCACCAGCUAUCCAAUCAACCAACUAACCAAUCUUCCAGGUAUUCAACCAACUAGCUAUUCAACCUAUCAACUAAGCAAUCUACCAUAUGUCCAACCAAAUUCAUACCAAAGGACACGUUUCCUUAGCAGCGACACAGCUAUGAUAAAUUCAGUCUGCACCCAUGGACUAAGAGACUCAUAUUUUUAUUACCUCUCAUUUCCCGUUUUUGUGACUGCACAUGUUUCUCCACAUCUAUCUUCUGUGCCUGAAGUAGUUCUAUCUCUUUUUCGAACUCAGAGAUUGUCUGAAUCACAGCAAUGACGGAAUCAGUUACCCUGAGUAUUUAAGGGCUCCAGCCCCUGUUUCUACAGAGAGUAAGCAGGAGAAUCAAACUGAUAUGUGCUGAGCACUUUACCUAGAAGACCUAAUCCUCCUAACAGGCCUAUGAGCUCCUGUCUAUAGAUAACAGCGAGCACCAGCCACUGUAAGACGCUGCCAUUUGUUUCACAUGCAAGAGCUCAACGUGACUUCAAAGGUGACACUAUUCCCGACCUGGCCAGCAAUGACUGAAACAAGGAGAAAGGACACAUUCAAGGGCUCCUCAAUGUCAAGGACAUACUUCUUCCUUUUGUCGAGCUUCUCAAUAGCCAGGGGACUUUAUAUGUCGAAUAUGCUAUGAUUACACAGUUGAUGGCGUAAAGGGGAUUCACACUUUGCAACUGUUAUGACUCAGGAAGGAUGUGUGAGCACAGCAGGAUUCCUAUCAUUUCAACUUCUCCUGGUAAAGUGUCUGCUGGGCUGGCAGCAGGCCCCGUGGUGCUGACUGAUGGUGACUGGCAGCUGGCGAUGCCCACGGCAGCAGUGUUGGUGCACCCAGCACCGGGUCAUGGGGAGGGCAAAGGGAUGUCUUCUGGGCCUCCAAGCCACCAACCCUGGGUGCUAGGACUUUGAAAAUGCAGCAGAGGCUGGGCACGGUGGCUCACACCUGUAAUCCCUGCAUUUUGGGAGGCCAAGCGGGGGUGGAUCACUGGAGGUCAGGAGUUCGAGACCAGCUUGGCCAACAUGGUGAAACCCCACCUCUACCAAAAAUACAAAAAAUUAGCCGGGCGUCAUGGCGCAUGCCUGUAAUCCCAGCUACUCGGGAGGCUGAGGAAGGAGAAUUGCUUGAACCCGGGAGGUGGAGGUUGCAGUGAGCCGAGAUUGCGCCACCGCACUCCAGCCCGGAUGACAGAGCAAGACUCCGUCUAAAAAAACAAAAAAAAAACAAAAUGCAGCAGAGUGGAUGAUAAUAAAGAUCACCUUCUUAGAACACACUAGCUCACACUUUUGCAGGGACUCACCAUAGGCAUUUGGCUACAUUAUUUCAUCUGACCAUUUUAUUCUCACAACAAUUCUGUCAAUCUCUUUUUGUUAUUCUCAUUUUAUAUAGGAGGAAACUAAAAUUCAUUAUGGUAGGCAUUUGGCUAACGUAUUUCAUCUGAUGAUUUUAUUCUCACAACAAUUCUGUCAGUCCUUUUUUGUUAUUCUCAUUUUUUUAUAUGAGGAAACUAAAAUUCAGAGAGGGUAAGGGACUUUAGCCAAGGCUGCCCAGCCAGACAAAGGCAAGAUUUGAAUCUAGGGCAUCUGGUUUUUAUGCUGACUGCUCUUUUCACUACACCAGAGAUGAAAACCCUACCCUAGCUUUGCAUCGCUGUUCAGGGGAAGACAUUUCCAGGGCAUAGACCUUAAGGACAAGUGAUAGGAGACCAAGGUCAUCCUGGAAGAAAGGGAGGCAGCCAGCCAGGGCUCUUUGGGCCUGUCAUCAUUUUGCAAAACUUGAAAGAAAGAGAAAACCUAUGUUGCAUUUCUCUCAUUAUUAACCUCCUCCCUUCCCCUAGACUCUAAUCCUCUGAUCUCGC